CCCAACAAAGUGGCAGCGUUGUCGGAUUUAUUGGGCGUAAGCGAGCGCAGGCGGAUGAUAAGUCUGAUGUGAAGCCCACGGCUCAACCGUGGAACUGCAUCGGAACUGUCAUUCUUGAGUGCAGAAGAGGAGAGUGGAAUUCCAUGUGUAGCGGUGGAAUGCGUAGAUAUAUGGAAGAACACCAGUGGCGAAGGCGGCUCUCUGGUCUGCAACUGACGCUGAGGCUCGAAAGCAUGGGUAGCGAACAGGAUUAGAUACCCUGGUAGUCCAUGCCGUAAACGAUGAGCGCUAGGUGUUGGGGACUUUCCGGUCCUCAGUGCCGCAGCAAACGCAUUAAGCGCUCCGCCUGGGGAGUACGACCGCAAGGUUGAAACUCAAAGGAAUUGACGGGGGCCCGCACAAGCGGUGGAGCAUGUGGUUUAAUUCGAAGCAACGCGAAGAACCUUACCAGGUCUUGACAUCCUGUGCUACACCUAGAGAUAGGUGGUUCCCUUCGGGGACGCAGAGACAGGUGGUGCAUGGCUGUCGUCAGCUCGUGUCGUGAGAUGUUGGGUUAAGUCCCGCAACGAGCGCAACCCUUGUCUUUAGUUGCCAUCAUUAAGUUGGGCACUCUAAAGAGACUGCCGGUGACAAACCGGAGGAAGGUGGGGAUGACGUCAAGUCAUCAUGCCCCUUAUGACCUGGGCUACACACGUGCUACAAUGGGCAGUACAACGAGAAGCGAACCCGCGAGGGUAAGCGGAUCUCUUAAAGCUGUUCUCAGUUCGGACUGCAGGCUGCAACUCGCCUGCACGAAGCUGGAAUCGCUAGUAAUCGCGGAUCAGCACGCCGCGGUGAAUACGUUCCCGGGCCUUGUACACA
rnacentral:rRNA from 1 species